CUCCGAUUCCUCCUUUCCCCCUUGGGGCGAGGUGUCCAUUGCCAGUUUCUUUCUUUCUUUUUUUAAAUUUUUUUAAAUUUUUUUAUUUAUACAACAAGAAAAACAAACAAACAAAAAACACAAAUACCAAAUUACACACAAAUUACAAAAAUAACCAUAGACACAUAAUAUUCUUAGCAAACAAUAAAACAUCUAUUCGUCUUAACACUAAAGACCCAACCUCCCGUCUAUUCCAUACUUCAAAUUCAUAUUACUUAUUGCCAAUACACAUUUUUUUCAUAAUUAAACUUAUUCUCAUUAAAUCUAAUUUCUUAUAUCUACCUUGCAACUAUUACUGAAGUUCCUCAAAUGCUGCAACAGAAUUUAAACUACUAUAUUUAUUUUUCAGAUAUUCUUUAAAAACCUCCCAUUUAGAAACAAAUUCCUGUUUUGAUUUAUUCUUUAUUUUUUCUGAUAAAUCAUCUAAUUCGGCAUAUUCUGUCAGCUUUUGGAUCCAAUCUUGCAUAGAGGGGAUUUCAUUACUCUUCCAUUUUGCUGCGAUCAAAACUCUUGCUGCCGCUGUCGCAUAUAAAAAGAUACCCUUCCUCUUUUGUGGAAUAUCCAAAUCUGUUAUUCCCAGGAGGUAGGCCUCUGGUUUUUUAUUGAAAGAGAUCUUUAGCAUUUUUUGCAGUUCUGCAUGUAUACUCUCCCAGAAUACCUGUAUUUUCCUACAUAUCCACCACAUAUGGUAGAAUGUUCCUGAGUCUCCGCAUCUCCAACAAUUACUUGAUACAUUUUUAUACAUUUUUGAAAGCUUCCAUGGUGUUAGAUACCAUCAAAGUUUUUUUUGAAAGUUCUCUCUAAUCGUGUAACAAUUUGUGAAUUUCCAAUUGAUCUUCCAUAAAUUUUCCCAUUGGGCCAUGGUUAUUGAGUGGCCAAAAUCCUGGGACCACCUCACCAUUGCCACUGUUACCUCCUCCUCCUUGACUGUCCAGUCAAGGAGGAGUCGGUAAGUUUUGGAAAGAGUUUUUCUUUUAGAAUUUACAAGAUCAGAUUUGAAUCGGGAAAUUUCUGUUGAGAACCCCUUUUGUUUGUCAGAUUUAAAUUUUUCAAAUAACUGAUGGUAUUGGAACCAGUCUGAAAUGUGGUCUCUUAUUUCCUCAAAGUUUUUAAAUUUUAUUUGGUUAUCUUCAUUUUUUAGAAGUAUUCUAAAAACAAUUUAGAAUUGUUUCCUGUUGUUCUCUGAGUUCCACUUGCAGAGGCUCCGAUUCCUCCUUUCCCCCUUGAGGCGAGGUGUCCAUUGCCAGUUUCACUGGGAUGAAAACCCAACCUUCCACAGCCCAGCAAUUCAAAAUUUCUGUCUUCACGUUGACUGGGUGGCAAAUUAUGCAAGUUGCACAGAAGAAUGUGGUUUGGUGAUGUGAUCUAAGAAGUCAAUCAUAUUUGAUGUUUCAGAAACAAACUUCAUUCAACGGAAGUAGCAAUAAUUUAUCUGAG